AGGGCAAUCAAUCUGUAUGGGUUUGGAGGUUUUGAAUUUAAAGUUUACGGAGAAUUACAUAUUUAAAUUUUGUUUUGUGGAGAAAUACUUUUCAAACUUUUAAUUCGAAGAUAUAUAGAAUGAUGUCAUAGUUUGAGAGACAUUUGAUGCUAUACGAUACUUCUCCUGGGGAAAUAACUCGUUUACCCUAUAAAAUUCACCCCUUACCUUAAAGAUUUCCGUUAAGCCUUUUUUCUAACAAAAAAAAUCUCAAAAAUCUGCAAGAAUAGAUAUUGGGCCUAAUUAGGCAUGUAUUCAACAGAACUAUGUAUAUAUUUUUAGAUUAGACCGAUAGGAAUGCAUUAUGGGUUUAACCCGUCUGUAGUGUAUUUCAAGUUUGCAGUGUUGCUAUUGAGAUGAGUGGGUCAAAGAAAAAAUUGUGUGAGUGGUAAUUAUCAAUUUUGCGUGUAGCCUUAACGCUUACAGUUUUUAAAAAUGUCGGUUUAUUAAAAUUAUUAAUAUACAGUAAACGUUAACGUAAACGCAAUACAAAUAUAGUGUGAUUGGUGGAAAAGAGCUGAAACAAAAAUGGUAAAAAAAGAAGGAGUAAAAGGAAGGGGAAUAAAUACGUUUACUUUCAUUAAUUACUAAGAGUUUCAUGCAUCAUGCGCAAAAAAAAAUAAUUUACAUAAAAUAUUUUUUUUAUUUCAAACGAAAAAAAUUAGUUUAUAUUUGAGACAUUAUUAUUAUUUAUUUUAAUUUUAUUGGUUUAAAAAUAAAA
rnacentral:lncRNA from 1 species